GACGAACGCUGGCGGCGUGCUUAACACAUGCAAGUCAAACGGUAAGGCCCUUCGGGGUACACGAGUGGCGAACGGGUGAGUAACACGUGGGUGAUCUGCCCUGCACUUCGGGAUAAGCCUGGGAAACUGGGUCUAAUACCGGAUAGGACCACUGCCUGCAUGGGUGGUGGUGGAAAGCUUUUGCGGUGUGGGAUGGGCCCGCGGCCUAUCAGCUUGUUGGUGGGGUGAUGGCCUACCAAGGCGACGACGGGUAGCCGGCCUGAGAGGGUGACCGGCCACACUGGGACUGAGAUACGGCCCAGACUCCUAUGGGAGGCAGCAGUGGGGAAUAUUGCACAAUGGGCGCAAGCCUGAUGCAGCGACGCCGCGUGAGGGAUGACGGCCUUCGGGUUGUAAACCUCUUUCAGCACCGACGAAGCGCAAGUGACGGUAGGUGCAGAAGAAGGACCGGCCAACUACGUGCCAGCCGCCGCCGCAG
rnacentral:rRNA from 1 species